rnacentral:rRNA from 1 species
AAAAGGCGGCGUAAGCUGUCGCUAAAGGAUGGACCCGCGGUGCAUUAGCUAGUUGGUAAGGUAACGGCUUACCAAGGCGACGAUGCAUAGCCGAGUUGAGAGACUGAUCGGCCACAUUGGGACUGAGACACGGCCCAAACUCCUACGGGAGGCAGCAGUAGGGAAUCUUCCACAAUGGGCGAAAGCCUGAUGGAGCAACGCCGCGUGAGUGAAGAAGGUUUUCGGAUCGUAAAGCUCUGUUGUUGGUGAAGAAGGAUAGAGGUAGUAACUGGCCCCUAUUUGACGGUAAUCAACCAGAAAGUCACGGCUAACUACGUGCCAGCAGCCGCGGUAAUACGUAGGUGGCAAGCGUUGUCCGGAUUUAUUGGGCGUAAAGCGAGCGCAGGCGGAAAGAUAAGUCUGAUGUGAAAGCCCCCGGCUUAACCGAGGAAUUGCAUCGGAAACUGUGUUUCUUGAGUGCAGAAGAGGAGAGUGGAACUCCAUGUGUAGCGGUGGAAUGCGUAGAUAUAUGGAAGAACACCAGUGGCGAAGGCGGCUCUCUGGUCUGUAACUGACGCUGAGGCUCGAAAGCAUGGGUAGCGAACAGGAUUAGAUACCCUGGUAGUCCAUGCCAUAAACGAUGAGUGCUAAGUGUUGGGAGGUUUCCGCCUCUCA